CGAACAAUGAUCGCCGAACCGCCUUCCGUAACAAGCGGAAGUUUGUUACGCCAGCUGUGUACUCCCUGGCCGCUGCAUUCCUAGCCUAUCCCUCGCGGCUAUAUAGCCUGAGCCCCGAUCCUCAUCCGUCUUGCGUCGCCACGAAUUGAGGAGACGAGCGUACGUCGUGUACACCGUUGCCGAGAGAAUCCAGGAGGGAGGGAGAGAAGACCACGUCGCAGGGAGAAGCGUGCGUCGUCGUUGUCGAGGAGUGCCGCUGCGGACCACUCGCCGUUACUCUAAAUACCAAGCACUGGAUCGCUGGGUGGGCGUUACACCGGCAAGGAGGCCACCGUGGGCUGGAGCGCCGCCGGGCUCGCUCGACGUCGAAGGUUGACGAAUCACGGUGGCCGACCGAUCCGAGCGAACGACACCGAUUGGAGGAGCCGGGUCAUCACCGCGGUUCGCACCUCCAUCGUGGGACGGAACGUCUACGCUGCGAUUGCUGGUGAGACGAGCAAGUGACUGAGGAACCCGAAGCACCGCAGGUUGAAGAUUCUGAGCAGGAGCUCGCAGAAGGCAAGUUGUGUCCUUGAUCACGUUCUUACCUAAUAAUAUUUAUGAUUCUGUUCUCACUGCUGCACUGUAGGGUUAAAUUGAUGGGACCUAAUAGGUUACCUAGUUUUGUUUACCCCACACCUUGCAUACAAAUGAAUUAUUGGGUAGUCUUGCUAUGCUCUAUCUGGUUUUGGGUGUUAAACUAUAUGUGAAUCAUGUUCAUGACUUAUUAUCACUGUUAACUGUUUAUGAAUUAUUUGUGGUACAUGAUAAGAUCAUCUUGUUAAUUGGAACAUAGAGCUUAACCUGAGAAAACAGUGCUACCACAAGGGUUUAAUGGUACGCCCUUGGCCAAUUAAUUAGGAAAAGUAGGGAGAGAUUACCUUACCCGAAAGGGGCAAGCGGGGAGGAGUUGCCGCAAGUAUAGGGAGGUUCUCGGGUCGAACUAUCUGUGAUAGCUUUUCGGACGAGGGAUUCCUAUACCCCCCCUCUGCCUGAAACCGUAGCGGGUUUUCUCAAACUAGUGGAACUUUGGAAAGGCCUCGUAGUGCUACCCUUCCUUGUCUCCUCGGUAGAGAUGAAUGGGAUUUCUAGACCCCUUGGCAAAUGGGUAACAUGGCUUGUGGGUAAAGAUGCACAACCUCUGCAGAGUGUAAAACUGGUAUAUCAGCCGUGCUCACGGUCAAGAGCGGCUCAGGACUCUCGCAUGAUUUAUUUAUGGAAUUAAACUUAACCUGUCAUGCAUCGCAUUGUGGGAUUUUAUUAUUCAUUAUGAUCAAAUAUUUAAUUGGGUUGGUAUAUACUUAUACUUAGUAAUUGCUAAUAAAAUUUGACCAACAAAAUUAAAGGCAAUGCUCACCCAUAACCAUAUUCUUUGAUAAGCCUUACACUACACAUUACCCACACUUGCUGAGCGAUGACCGUAUGGGAGCUCACCCUUGCUAUAAUCACACCAGGUGAAGAGCAGGUACCACCAGAGGAGGAUUACUACGACGAGUUCGAUGAGAUCUAGGCGUCGUCUCCCAGUCAACUAUGGCGUUGUGGAGAUAGUUAUUUUGGUUCGAUCUAUUUUAUUAUCAGUUAUUUUGUAAGACAUUAUCGUUAUAUAAUAAAAGUUAUGACAUUCGUCUCUAUA